AGGGUAGAGGCUCAGACAUUUAUAGAACUAAUUCAGAGCUAUAGAACAUUAGAGCUGGAAGAAGUUGAGAUCACAUAGUUUACUGCUUUCCUCCAUUCUACAGAUGAGGAGACUGAAGCACAGAGGUGAAGCAGCUUGCCCGACAUCACACUGCUGCUUAGUGAUAGAGCCAGUGCUAGACCUUGGGGCGCCUAACUGUUACUGUUGGAGGCUCUUAACCCACUGGGAUCAAGAAGGUGUCAAGAGCUAGACUCUCUCUCCAGGAAAAUGAACACAGACACAAAACCUUGCAUAUAUGCUUCCAGGUAAAGAACCUGCCUGCAUUUUGGUACCACUACCUGCUGGCCUGUCCUGAGCAUGUUAUGUCAUGAGAGGGCAGGGAAGGCUGAAUCAUUAAAGACAUGAAUCAGAUUGAUUCUCGUGGCUUUAAAAACAAACACCACAGGACCAGCGUGACCCGACAGCCUGUUCUUAUCCACAGAGGCUUGUGGUCUCCAUUGAAAAGAAGCAAAGACAGCACGUCCCAACUAAAAGACUGUGUCAUCCUAAAGGUGAAAGGAAGAGAUGAUCCAAGCCAAUUUAGGACCAAUAGCAGACUCUUCACACUGCCUGGGGAUAGAGGGACCACCCUGGGCUCCUCUUACUCCUGGAUUUACUUGGAUGACCAGACUCAGGACUUCAUUUAAAUAGGAUUUGAUUUCAUAAUGGAAUCUUCAGCUUGAAAUAUAAAUUUGUUUCUGUCUCCCUCUGCCAUCUCAGCCUUUCUUGGCCACUUCCUGAAUAAUGCAUGAAGUGAACUCCUUAGAGGGCUCAGCUUCACUGCCCCUCCAGCUUUAGCCAUGCUCUAGCAGAGAGAAGGACAUACAUCUUCUCUUCACAGAAACUGUCAUGUCCUGGAACACAGCCUGCCUUCUCUGGGUCCGAGCCUCUCACCUCCCAGGCUGACGUCAGCCCUGUUCUCCCUGGGGCUCUGUGUGGACUGAAUAGAGGUUCUGCAGUGAGUCUCCACCUUGGGGUUUUCAAUGGCUAUCGUGUGGCAACAAGACAACGGAUGUGUCCAUGGCACCGGCUGUCUCUGAGGAUGUGGCCUGAGAACUCCCGGGUCACCAAGCCAAGUGCUGAGUUGGCAGGAGUUCCUACAAUCGCAGAGGCUAGGCCUCCAUGUGGCAUAAAGAGGAGCAUUGUCUUGGCAACAUAAGAGAUGAUUCAAUGAAUAAGGCUGGUAGCAAGACUGCUUAUUAUUACCUGACCUCAGUUGAUUCGGUGCCCAAGCAGUGAAAUACAGGCAAUUCAUGGAAUUCCUUUCUUUCUUUCACACUAAUUACACAACACAAACCAUACAAGUCUGUUACCAGUGGUAUUUACAAAUGAAUGUCUUGUAGACCAAAUUUCACAUUAACAUUUUUUUCUGCAUUGAAAAACCAUCAGUAAGAUGUCUUAUUCAUUUUUCUCUGUUGCCAAGAACGUAUCAAUUCUGGCCCACAUUACACAGAUUAAAAUAUCGUUAGGGCUGACUUGUGUACUCGACUGGAAAACCAUCUUAGUCCUUAACAGUGGGGCUGCCACUGCAGGGUCCAUGUGUCCAACCUGAGCUGAGAACUCAGACCCAACUGGCAGCCCUUUCCUUGUCCAUAGGCAGCACCUUCUCUCUUUUCAAGUCCUUAGCAUCAUGUCCAAGCUCCCCCUCGCUAUUAUCCCAGGAGAGGACCUUCCACCCACUUCAUUAAGAUAAUUGGAGUGGGCAGCUAUAAACGACUUCCCUUUCCUGCUCCCCAUCUGAAGAUUUAUCUACAUCUGCCUCAUCUUCACCUCCAUUUCUCCAGAUUCAAAGGAUCUAGUAUCCGGACUUGGGCUUAAAGCCAGUCCUUCCUCUGCAUCCCCAAUUGGUUGCUUGUCCCUUGGUCCACCAGUCAGCCCCUCUCUCCUAUAUCUUCAACUUCCUCCCUACCAUAUGUUUUUCUUCUUCCUAUAAACAUAGUGAAAAAUUAAUAAUAAUCCUCACUAUGUAGCUCCUUUCCUACCAUUCUCCUUCCCUGUGCACCAAACUAUGAGAAGCAGGUCUGCACUUGCUCUCUCCACUCUCUCCCCUCCCUCUUAUUCCUCCACAUUCAAGCUCCUGCUCCUUGGCGCACUGCUCUUCCUUCUCUAUUCUUACCCAAGUCAUCUCCCUCCCUCGUGUUUUUACUACCAUAUUGUGCUGAGGACAUUCAAACAAGUAGAACCAGCUCUGGCCUCUCCCCUAUACUUCUUUACAUCGGCGUAUAUAACUGCUUGAUAGGCGACUCCACUUGGAUGAUCUGUGAGCCUCUCAAACUUGAUGUAUCUAAAACCAAACAUAUCUUUCUUCCUUCUCCUCUUUAUGAGACCUACUCCUCCUCCUGCGUUCCCAGUCUUAUAAUGAACCCACUAUAUUGGAUCCCAAGACAUAAAAAACAGUCUAACCUCUUUCCUUUCAUGCAUUCCCUAUAUUCAAAAAAUCACUUAGUCGUAUCUGUUUUGUCUCCUAAAUACAGCCAUACAUUGAUUAACACUGGGGAUAUGCCUGAUAAAUGUGUUGGGUGAUUUUGUUGUUGUGCAGACAUCAUAGAGUGUACUUGCACAAACCUAGAUGGCAUAGCCUACUACACCCCUAUGCUAUAUGGUAUAGCCUAUUGAUCCUAGGCUGCAAACCUGUACAGCAUGUUACCGUACUAAAUACU